ACUCAAAGGAAUUGACGGGGACCCGCACAAGCAGUGGAGUAUGUGGUUUAAUUCGAAGCAACGCGAAGAACCUUACCAGGGCUUGACAUCUACCGAAUCCUAUAGAGAUAUGGGAGUGCCUUCGGGAACGGUAAGACAGGUGGUGCAUGGUUGUCGUCAGCUCGUGUCGUGAGAUGUUGGGUUAAGUCCCGCAACGAGCGCAACCCCUAUUGUUAGUUGCCAUCAUUAAGUUGGGCACUCUAGCGAGACUGCCGGUGACAAAUCGGAGGAAGGUGGGGACGACGUCAAAUCAUCAUGCCCCUUAUGUCCUGGGCUACACACGUACUACAAUGGCUGUUAACAGAGGGAAGCGAAGUCGUGAGACGGAGCAAAUCUCCAAAAGCAGUCUCAGUUCGGAUUGCAGGCUGAAACCCGCCUGCAUGAAGUCGGAAUUGCUAGUAAUCGCGAAUCAGCAUGUCGCGGUGAAUACGUUCCCGGGUCUUGUACACACCGCCCGU
rnacentral:rRNA from 1 species